GCCACGAGUCCUGGCUUCUGGGGCGAGCACGGGCCGCGGGUUGUUAACGGCAACGGCACCGCCCCAGUUCGCCAACAGGAGGCGACAGGCCCCUCGGUGCACAGCGCUCCUUUUCUCCCCCCCCCCCCGGCCCGCAGAGGGGAGGGCGGCCUAGCGCCUAGGGCUGAGCCCCUCCCACCCGCAGGAGGUGGCGUUGCACACUCAGAUUGUGCCCCGGGCCAUGUUGCACACUCAGGAGUGCCCCCCUCUCACCCAGGCUGUGCCCUGGGGCCACGUAGCACAAUUAGGCUGUGCCCACCUGCUGUGUCACAGUUCUGAUCAUUCCAAGCACAUCUAAACAUCACACCACCGCAUCCCUACAGGACAGUGACCAGUGCGGAGGCUAGCAGAUGCUGCAAGGAUUAUGAAGGCUCCUGCCCAGUCCUGAAUUAACAGGGAGCAGACACCAGCAGGAGAAGGCUACCAAAUCUUCUCAGCCUGAAGAUGGAGUGAGGCCAGCUGAAAUAGACAAAUGGCAACCCCACUGCAGAAGCUCCUGGACACUAACAUCAAUCAGGUUCUUAAAAGAAGGACUUUAUUGUGAAGAAAGAAGUAAAAGAAUCACACCUGAAAAAUUAUGGAUGGAAGAUAUGGUGCUGGUACCCAAACCUGUAACUUCAGAGGAAGCUACAUACAACUGGGACUGGAGAUCUGAGGACUCUGAGAAGAGCAGAAGCAAUACUGUGCACACAUCAUUAAUUUAUAUGUUGAUCAGUCUCCUCUUCCACAAUUUCAAGCACCUUGGCGGCCUGCUGUUUAUGCUCAGGCUGAGUGGAGGACCUGGGAGAGAGAGAGAGCAAUCCCUUCCCAGCAAGGACCCGAUCAGAGCAGAAGAAUUCUAUUCUGGAGAACUGAAUAUGCAAAGGUCCUCGAUUUUCCUUCAGACAUCUGGCAUUGGAUCUAGAGAGGAGAUCAUUGCAGUGCCUUGUGAUUCCAAACUCUGGAGAGGACCCAGUCACUAUAUUUUCCUGCCAGAUUAAAUCAAGUGCCCCAGACAGGCUUUGAAAAGAAUGCUUCCAGGUGUAUAUGUAUUUUUAGAAUGGGAAUUAAAAGGCAGGGGCACAGGAUGAUCUGCCAGUCUGGGCAGGGAGGCAGAACAUGCUGGUGGGCUCUGACGUGAUCAAAGCGUUCUCCGUCCCUGGGACUCAUAAGGUAGUCCAGCCCCAUCGUUCAACAGUGAGACUAAAGCCAACAUGGUGGUUCUCUUUGAACCUCCUUGUAAGAGGGAAGCUGAAGAAGUGGGAAUGAAUAGAAACAAAACCCUUGCCUGAACCAUUCACGUUUUUCAGAUCCUGUUAAUAAACCAUCUUAGAGUAAAUUGCCUGGAUUUCCUAUAAAAUAAAAAUGCCUUUGGGGAGCUGAGCAGAGACCCAGAAGAGUAGAUUAAACAACUGAUCUUGCUGAAGGAGGUAGGCGCCGGAGAAGAUCAGAUAACAUUAGCAGUGUAUAUUAUCAGAUAACAACAAGAGAGCAGGGAAACAUCUACCUGGAUAGGACAAGCAGAUAGAGGAUUUGGCUACUGCCAAAGGAGAGCUGAUAAUUCUAGUGGCAGUCCUACAGGAAGAGAGAGCAGUGACUCCUGACAAGUCCAGGGAUCUAAAAGAGAGUGCAGCUACCAAAUAAAGCUAAGAAGCUCAUGGUGUCCCGUGGAAAGGUGUCAUCCAUUGGAGAGGAUGCAUAACUAGACAUGGGAAGCCCCACAGUCCUUUAUUUCGGUUGGCCUGCCUGCCCAUAUUUGCACAUCAGCCUUGCACAGUGCAUGCGUUUGCACUCCAGCCCAAGAAGAGGCUCUGUGUGGGUGCAAUGAAAGCUAAACUUCAAGGGUAGUCUCUCCCACAGGGUAUUGGUAGAUCUCAAGCCCUUUGCAGGCCUGCUUAUCCCCUUACUUACAAAUAAAAAGGGAGCAGGCUGUGGGUGAAGAAUGGGCAUGUCUGCAGAAACCUGGAUUUAAGUGCAUUCCUCACUGUGCAAAUGAGGCACUUAGCAACCUCUUAGACCUUACUAGGCAGGAAAACCUGGGCAGUCUCCCAGCAGUAUUCUCAGGAAUUCAGGAUCAGGUUCCCAUGUGUUGCCUGGCCUGGCUCCUCACCUUUUACCUUGAGCUUAUACACCUAGCACUCCAUGCCAGUGCUGUUCAGAGCAAGUACAGCAUGUGGCCCCAGAGAAAACCUUCAGUGAUAGUAAUAUCAUUCCCUGAUCCCACUUACCCAUUGUCAGAGCCAACUCAGCAGCGGCUGAGUGAGAUGAAUUUCCUCUUGGUGAGGGAGGAGGAGGUAAACACAACUAAUUUUUAUUAUUUACACUAAAGAUGCAUCAGGCAGCAACCAAACCCUGAAAUCUGACAGUGCAGUGAGUGAACACUAGGGGGCCACUUACUGGUCAGCAGGAAUCCUAGGUUGUUUCACUGUUCUCUGGCCCUUUCCUGAGAAACAAAAGAACAUUCACGCACUGGCAUCUUGGAGUACAGAUAUGAUGUUUGCUGGUGGUUAUGGGAUCUGUUUCUAAAACCCUGCUCCCAUUAAUUGUGAAAAUAAAGAUAUCUUUCAAAUGUCAGGCAAUCAGUGCCUGGUACGUGAUACAUGCAUGAUACUCACAUGCCCUUCAGCAAUGCAAAAGCAAUGUAGCGUCCCACUUUGUUCAUGCAGUAUCCAUUUAGUUCAGGUGCAAGAUGAGUCGCUUGCUUUUCCUAAUGAUUGGUGGGAGAAAUAAAGUUGAUUUUCAAGCUGUGCUACAAUGCCUCACACAUACACAGCCACAGAUGCCUGUCGAGAGACCAAGCCAAAGCCAUGAGGCCUGGAGUUACACAUUUGGCUUUUGAUGUCAAAGGGUGUAGUUUCAAAUCCCUCCCUAGUUCUAGCAGUGGAUGGGAAAGGUGUGGCACCCAUAUGUUUUUUGGGGAAAAAAUACGACUUGAUUCCUCAUUUGCAAAGGAAAGGGCAGUCCAUAACUGUGCAUGUUUGUCUAGCUGUAUCAGUCUUACUUCAGAGUCAGGAGACUGCAAGUGCAAUUGCUGACAAAUGUGGGAAACUAAAGAUGUCCUUGUGCCACAUAAAGAAGUGCGCUUAUGGUGCUGCGCGAAGUCUGGGAGUGUGACUAAUAUUGGGUGGGUUCUGAUAACAUGACAGAUGCCAGCAAGAACUUGCAUUGUUGGGGAAAACAUGGUGCCUGUCAAAAGCAUGAGAUGUUAGUCAUGGCUGAUAAACCCAAAGCCAUUCAUUUGCUGGUGGACUGGUGUGAUUUCAGCAUUCUCCGUGGAACAGUCUGAGCAGUGGUUUGAAAGUUAGGUUACAACGCGUCUUUGGAGCAAAUUUCUCAUGCUUAGUAUGCAAAUUCCUUCCCAUGAAAGAGAAAGAGCCGCAGACAUUUUUGAGAUAAUGUUUGCAUAGUUUACAAAACACUUCCCACUGGAGACAUCAGGGGACUUUGUGUUAUGGCAGGAACAUUACUCUAACUCGACAUUUUUGAGAUAAUUCUCUGCUUAUACUCUACUUUGUCCCAUUUGGAGAUGGUUUCUUUAAUUUAGCCAGGUGGAAUCAUCACACAUGUUUAAAGCUAGGGUGAUUCCCCUUCCGCACCCCAUCUUUGCAAGGACUUGUCUUGCGUUUCAGUGCUGGCAUCAUUCAUGCACACAGCUGAUGCCAUACCUUUGUGGGAAUGUGUCACUCAUUUAUCAUUGCUUUUUCCCCUUUCAAGAGGAUUUUGUAUAAUAUGCACAAGGAAUUAUCUCAGAAAUUUAAAUCCAGGCCUUCCCUCUGUGAGGGCUUCUCUGUAAUUUGAACUCAGGACCUCACAAGCUUAAGCAAGAAUUAUGACCCUAGAACACCACAGCUUCUUUGUUUGUCUUUGCAAAGGCAUCUUGAAAGGGACAAAACCAAGAUAAUUGAGUGUCUUGUUGAUACUUUGGUAUAGUUUUCAUCUAGGGUGUGAGAGGCUCAGUUUUCAAAUCCUAAGUAAGCCUCUGCAGAGGUUAGGAGAAUACUAUAAUUUCACAUUUUUGAGAAUUCCUUUACAGUUUGCUUUGUAAGGGGGCAAACCAAAGGAAAAGAAGUGGCUUGUUCUGCCAGUGUCCUGUCACCUAUGGUGCAGGAAGUCCUGGAUCCAAAUCCACCAAAAGCUAUUGCAUAGGAGCAACUUGACACACGAGUAGUGCUUUGGGCUCCUCACAGGGAUGAUGUUAUUACUAGUGGCCAUUCCUAAAUACUGCAGGACCUGUGGAUUUCUACACUAAUUUUCUUCUUCUGUCACCUUCUCCCUGUCCACCAAGGGGAGGACAAGAAAUAACCAGCUUAUUUUGCAGCAAGGGAGAUCUAGGUUAGAUACUAAAAAAUUUCUACCUAUGUGGAUAGUCAAGCACUGGAACAAGUUACCUAGGGAGGUUGUGGAAUACCCAUCAUUGGAAGUUUUUAAGAACAGGUUGGACAAACACCUGUCAGGGAUGGUCUAAGCUUGCUUGGUCCUUCCUCAGUGCAGCAGGCUGGAAUAGAUGACCUCUUGAAGUCCCUUCGAGCCCUACAGAUCUAUGAUUCUGUGAAAUCACCCAAAACGUUCCUCUUGUUGCAAUAGCAGGGAGAAGGGAAGAGCACCAUUCUACGCAGUUGCAUUAUGUCCAGCACAGAGAUGAGUAUGACAAGAAGUCGUUCAAAAUGUGCGGAGUCAAACCAGGAUGAGGCGAGAAUGCCAGAGGGCUUCAUAGUCCCCACAAACUGCUUUAGCUAGAAAAGGUCAGAACAAUAGGCUGCUUUCAAGAUUCCAGCCAAAAAUUACAACCUGGCAGGAGAGUUGUCAGUUUAAACAAAACUCUUUGCUCCAUAAAAGGUCAGCUAAAAUGGUUUUAAUUUUUUAUCAGAUAUAUAUAAAAUUUGUUUUGUGGUUUAUAAGCUGGCUAUCUUGGCUAUUUAAAUGUUUUGGAAUGAAUAAAAGUGGUAUUAUAGGCUGGUCCCUUGCAUGAGUGAUAUGAAAUAUUGCAUAAGAGUCCAGCAAAUACAAUGCCCUCAAUAAUUACAGGUUUCACUCUU